rnacentral:tRNA from 1 species
GGGGUUGUGGCUCAGCGGUAAAAGCACUCACCUAGCACGUGCGAGGCCCUGGGUUUGAUCCUCGGCACCACA